rnacentral:rRNA from 1 species
CUUGGUGAUUAUUGCACAGGGGGUCCACCUCUUCCCAUUCCGAACAGAGAAGUUAAGCCCUGUAGCGCCGAUGGUACUGCCGAAAGGUGGAAGAGUAGGUCGUUGCCAAGA